UACGUAGGUGGCAAGCGUUGUCCGGAAUUAUUGGGCGUAAAGCGCGCGCAGGCGGUCUCUUAAGUCUGAUGUGAAAGCCCACGGCUCAACCGUGGAGGGUCAUUGGAAACUGGGGGGACUUGAGUACAGAAGAGAAGAGUGGAAUUCCACGUGUAGCGGUGAAAUGCGUAGAGAUGUGGAGGAACACCAGUGGCGAAGGCGACUCUUUGGUCUGUAACUGACGCUGAGGCGCGAAAGCGUGGGGAGCAACAGG
rnacentral:rRNA from 1 species